AGUGAACGCUGGCGGUAGGCCUAACACAUGCAAGUCGAACGGCAGCACAGUAAGAGCUUGCUCUUACGGGUGGCGAGUGGCGGACGGGUGAGGAAUACAUCGGAAUCUACUUUUUCGUGGGGGAUAACGUAGGGAAACUUACGCUAAUACCGCAUACGACCUACGGGUGAAAGCAGGGGAUCUUCGGACCUUGCGCGAUUGAAUGAGCCGAUGUCGGAUUAGCUAGUUGGCGGGGUAAAGGCCCACCAAGGCGACGAUCCGUAGCUGGUCUGAGGGGAAGAUCCGCCACUCGGAAGAUAGGAAGCGCACCCAGACCCGGAGUGAGGCCGGGGCGGAAAAUUUGCGGGAGGGAGCGGAAGCGUAACCCACGCAAUCGGCGGGGGUCAAAAAGCGCUUCGGGUUGUAAAGCCUUUUUGUGGGAAAAGAAAAGAAGCAGGUUAACCCCCCCCUUUAUGGCGGGACCCCAAGAAAAAGCCACGGCUAAAUUCGGG
rnacentral:rRNA from 1 species